CCAGACUCCUACGGGAGGCAGCAGUGAGGAAUAUUGGUCAAUGGCCGGGAGGCUGAACCAGCCAAGUCGCGUGAGGGAAGGCGGUCCUAUGGAUUGUAAACCUCUUUUGUCGGGGAGCAAAAGACGCCACGCGUGGCGUUCCGAGAGUACCCGAAGAAAAAGCAUCGGCUAACUCCGUGCCAGCAGCCGCGGUAAUACGGAGGAUGCGAGCGUUAUCCGGAUUUAUUGGGUUUAAAGGGUGCGCAGGCGGAAGAUCAAGUCAGCGUUAAAAUUGAGAGGCUCAACCUCUUCGAGCCGUUGAAACUGGUUUUCUUGAGUGAGUGAGAAGUAUGCGGAAUGCGUGGUGUAGCGGUGAAAUGCAUAGAUAUCACGCAGAACUCCGAUUGCGAAGGCAGCAUACUGGCGCUCAACUGACGCUCAUGCACGAAAGUGUGGGUAUCGAACAGGAUUAGAUACCCGGGUAAAU
rnacentral:rRNA from 1 species